GACGAACGCUGGCGGCGUGCUUAACACAUGCAAGUCGAACGGAAAGGCCCUGCUUUUGUGGGGUGCUCGAGUGGCGAACGGGUGAGUAACGCGUGAGUAACCUGCCCUUGACUUUGGGAUAACUUCAGGGAACUGGGGCUAAUACCGGAUAGGAGCUCCUGCUGCAUGGUGGGGGUUGGAAAGUUUCGGCGGUUGGGGAUGGACUCGCGGCUUAUCAGCUUGUUGGUGGGGUAGUGGCUUACCAAGGCUUUGACGGGUAGCCGGCCUGAGAGGGUGACCGGCCACAUUGGGACUGCGAUACGGCCCAGACUCCUACGGGAGGCAGCAGUGGGGAAUAUUGCACAAUGGGCGGAAGCCUGAUGCAGCAACGCCGCGUGCGGGAUGACGGCCUUCGGGUUGUAAACCGCUUUCGCCUGUGACGAAGCGUGAGUGACGGUAAUGGGUAAAGAAGCACCGGCUAACUACGUG
rnacentral:rRNA from 1 species